CAUAUUUAUAUCAAUAUGCCUUUCUGUUGACAUAACAUCCUAAUAAUAUCAAUAUAUAAUUUUCUCCUGACGUCAUACUAUCAAUAUUUAUAUCAACAAACCUUUCUCUUUUGAUGACAUAAGAUCAUAAUAAUAUCAAUAUACUUCUUCUAUACGCCCUAAUUAAAAAAAAUCUCACGCAACAAUCUCCAUAAUUAUCCUUUCAUUGACUUUGACUUGUGGAAUACUUGCAGAAAACCGUUGCCAAAGUUAGCAGGAUGAAUAUUGGUAAAAGUUUGGUCAUUUUAAAAAAUCUAGGUUCUCAAAUCAAUCAACUCACAAAAGAACAACGAAAAGAGUUCCUCCGAUAAAGGUUGACCAUAGAUAUUUAAUAUAGUUU